UCCCCGGGCGUCGAACAGUCAGCUCAGA
rnacentral:snRNA from 1 species